rnacentral:tRNA from 2 species
GCGGCCGUGGUCCAGCCUGGUCUAAGCUUUGCAAGCUGCCAAGAGGACUCAGGCCUUCCAAGCCUGUAGCGCGGGUUCAAAUCCCGCCGGCCGCACCA